AGCGAACGCUGGCGGCAGGCCUAACACAUGCAAGUCGAACGAACCUUUCGGGGUUAGUGGCGGACGGGUGAGUAACACGUGGGAACGUGCCUUUAGGUUCGGAAUAACUCAGGGAAACUUGAGCUAAUACCGAAUGUGCCCUUCGGGGGAAAGAUUAAUCGCCUUUAGAGCGGCCCGCGUCUGAUUAGCUAGUUGGUUGAGGUAAUGGCUCACCAAGGCGACGAUCAGUAGCUGGUCUGAGAGGAUGAUCAGCCACAUUGGGACUGAGACACGGCCCAAACUCCUACGGGAGGCAGCAGUGGGGAAUCUUGCGCAAUGGGCGAAAGCCUGACGCAGCCAUGCCGCGUGAAUGAUGAAGGUCUUAGGAUUGUAAAAUUCUUUCACCGGGGACGAUAAUGACGGUACCCGGAGAAGAAGCCCCGGCUAACUUCGUG
rnacentral:rRNA from 1 species